UUUGAUCCUGGCUCAGGACGAACGCUGGCGGCGUGCUUAACACAUGCAAGUCGAACGGAGAAUUUAUUUCGGUAAAUUCUUAGUGGCGAACGGGUGAGUAACGCGUAGGCAACCUGCCCUUUGGAUGGGGACAACAUUCCGAAAGGAGUGCUAAUACCGAAUGUGAUCCAUUUCUCGCAUGAGAGAUGGAUGAAAGAUGGCCUCUAUUUAUAAGCUAUCGCCAAAGGAUGGGCCUGCGUCUGAUUAGUUAGUUGGUGGGGUAACGGCUCACCAAGACGAUGAUCAGUAGCCGGUCUGAGAGGAUGAACGGCCACAUUGGGACUGAGACACGGCCCAAACUCCUACGGGAGGCAGCAGUGGGGAAUCUUCCGCAAUGGACGAAAGUCUGACGGAGCAACGCCGCGUGAGUGAUGAAGGUUUUCGGACUGUAAAACUCUGUUGUCAGGGACGAAGGUGCGAUCUGCUAAUAGUUGAUCGUAUUGACGGUACCUGACGAGGAAGCCACGGCUAACUACGUGCCAGCAGCCGCGGUAAUACGUAGGUGGCAAGCGUUGUCCGGAAUUAUUGGGCGUAAAGAGCAUGUAGGUGGGCUUUUAAGUCCGAUGUGAAAAUGCGGGGCUCAACCCCGUAUGGCAUUGGAUACUGGAAGUCUUGAGUGCAGGAGAGGAAAGGGGAAUUCCCAGUGUAGCGGUGAAAUGCGUAGAUAUUGGGAGGAACACCAGUGGCGAANGCGCCUUUCUGGACUGUGUCUGACACUGAGAUGCGAAAGCUAGGGUAGCAAACGGGAUUAGAUACCCCGGUAGUCCUAGCCGUAAACGAUGGGUACUAGGUGUAGGGGGGUAUCGACCCCCCCUGUGCCGGANUUAACGCAAUAAGUACCCCGCCUGGGGACUANGNUCGCAAGACUGAAACUCAAAGGAAUUGACGGGGGCCCGCACAAGCGGUGGAGUAUGNGGUUUAAUUCGACGCAACNCNANGAANCCUUACC
rnacentral:rRNA from 1 species